UGCCCCAUAGUCUGGGAUACCACUUGGAAACAGGUGCUAAUACCGGAUAAGAAAGCGGAUCGCAUGAUCAGCUUUUAAAAGGCGGCGUAAGCUGUCGCUAUGGGAUGGCCCCGCGGUGCAUUAGCUAGUUGGUAAGGUAAAGGCUUACCAAGGCGAUGAUGCAUAGCCGAGUUGAGAGACUGAUCGGCCACAUUGGGACUGAGACACGGCCCAAACUCCUACGGGAGGCAGCAGUC
rnacentral:rRNA from 1 species